rnacentral:rRNA from 1 species
UCUGUUUGAUCCUGCCAGAGGCCACUGCUAUCGGAGUUCGAUUAAGCCAUGCGAGUCGAGAGGUGUAAGACCUCGGCAUACUGCUCAGUAACACGUGGACAACCUACCCUGAAGAGGGGGAUAACCCCGGGAAACUGGGGAUAAUACCCCAUAGACUAUGGAUGCUGGAAUGCUUUGUAGUUGAAAGGUCCGCCGCUUCAGGAUGGGUCUGCGGCCGAUUAGGUUGUUGUUGGGGUAACGGCCCAACAAGCCUGUAAUCGGUACGGGUUGUGGGAGCAAGAGCCCGGAGAUGGAUUCUGAGACACGAAUCCAGGCCCUACGGGGCGCAGCAGGCGCGAAAACUUUACAAUGCGAGCAAUCGUGAUAAGGGAACUCCGAGUGCCUGUAAAAUCAGGCUGUCCGCCAGUGUAAAUAACUGGUGAAGAAAGGGCCGGGCAAGACCGGUGCCAGCCGCCGCGGUAAUACCGGCGGCUCGAGUGGUGGCCACUAUUACUGGGCUUAAAGCGUUCGUAGCUGGUCUGUUAAGUCUCUGGGGAAAUCUUCCGGCUUAACCGGAAGGCGUCUCAGGGAUACUGGCAGACUAGGGACCGGAAGAGGUGAGAGGUACUCCAGGGGUAGGAGUGAAAUCCUGUAAUCCUUGGGGGACCACCUGUGGCGAAGGCGUCUCACCAGGACGGCUCCGACAGUGAGGAACGAAAGCUGGGGGAGCAAACCGGAUUAGAUACCCGGGUAGUCCCAGCUGUAAACGAUGCGCGUUAGGUGUAUCGGUGACCACGAGUCACCGAGGUGCCGAAGAGAAAUCGUGAAACGCGCCGCCUGGGAAGUACGGUCGCAAGGCUGAAACUUAAAGGAAUUGGCGGGGGAGCACCACAACGGGUGGAGCCUGCGGUUUAAUCGGACUCAACGCCGGGAAACUCACCGGACAAGACAGCUGAAUGAUAGUCGGGCUGAAGACUCUACUUGACUAGCUGAGAGGAGGUGCAUGGCCGUCGUCAGUUCGUACUGUGAAGCAUCCUGUUAAGUCAGGCAACGAGCGAGACCCA